GUUGUGAUGGCCGAGGGGUGAAGGUGUUGGACUCAAAAUCCGAUAGGGAUUCCCUGCGCAGCUUUCAAUCCUGCUCACAGCG
rfam:Taeniopygia guttata chromosome 7, whole genome shotgun sequence.